AGAAUAAACAGCAGGGGAGAAAACAUGAUCACAAAGGCGAUUUUCCAAAGGUCAGUCUUAUCCAUUACAUUAUAGAUGUGCUGACCCUUGAGAUUUCCCCAAAUGUGGGAAACUUGACUGCGUAAUUUCUGGUAGUGGGGAACUGUCUUUAUGCUUUCCCCUA